rnacentral:rRNA from 1 species
GCCCGUACCGUAAACCGACACAGGUGGGUGGGAUGAGUAUUCUAAGGCGCGUGGAAGAACUCUCUUCAAGGAACUCUGCAAAAUAGCACCGUAUCUUCGGUAUAAGGUGUGCCUAACUUUGUGAAGGAUUUACUCCGUAAGCAUUGAAGGUUACAACAAAGAGUCCCUCCCGACUGUUUACCAAAAACACAGCACUCUGCUAACUCGUAAGAGGAUGUAUAGGGUGUGACGCCUGCCCGGUGCUCGAAGGUUAAUUGAUGACGUUAGCUUACGCAAAGCGUCUGAUCGAAGCCCGAGUAAACGGCGGCCGUAACUAUAACGGUCCUAAGGUAGCGAAAUUCCUUGUCGAUUAAAUAUCGACCUGCAUGAAUGGCGUAACGAGAUGGGAGCUGUCUCGAAGAGGGAUCCAGUGAAAUUGUAGUGGAGGUGAAAAUUCCUCCUACCCGCGGCAAGACGGAAAGACCCCGUGGACCUUUACUACAGCUUGACACUGCUAUUGGGAUAAAAAUGUGCAGGAUAGGUGGGAGGCUUUGAUCCAUAGACGCCAGUUUAUGGUGAGCCAUUGUUGAGAUACCACUCUUUUUUAUUCUGAUAGCUAACUAGCUUGAGUUAUCCUCAAGUAGGACAAUGUCUGGUGGGUAGUUUGACUGGGGCGGUCGCCUCCCAAAAUGUAACGGAGGCUUACAAAGGUUGGCUCAGAACGGUUGGAAAUCGUUCGUAGAGUAUAAAGGCAAAAGCCAGCUUAACUGCGAGACAUACACGUCAAGCAGAGACGAAAGUCGGUCUUAGUGAUCCGGUGGUUCUGUGUGGAAGGGCCAUCGCUCAAAGGAUAAAAGGUACCCCGGGGAUAACAGGCUGAUCUCCCCCAAGAGCUCACAUCGACGGGGAGGUUUGGCACCUCGAUGUCGGCUCAUCGCAUCCUGGGGCUGGAGCAGGUCCCAAGGGUAUGGCUGUUCGCCAUUUAAAGCGGUACGCGAGCUGGGUUCAGAACGUCGUGAGACAGUUCGGUCCCUAUCUGCCGUGGGCGUAAGAAGAUUGAGGAGAGUUGACCCUAGUACGAGAGGACCGGGUUGAACCGACCACUGGUGUACC